AAUGAACGCUGGCGGCAGGCCUAACACAUGCAAGUCGAACGGAUCCUUCGGGAUUAGUGGCGGACGGGUGAGUAACGCGUGGGAACAUACCCUUUGGUACGGAAUAGCCUCGGGAAACUGGGAGUAAUACCGUAUGUGGUCGAGAGACGAAAGAUUUAUCGCCAAAGGAUUGGCCCGCGUUGGAUUAGGUAGUUGGUGGGGUAAUGGCCUACCAAGCCGACGAUCCAUAGCUGGUUUGAGAGGAUGAUCAGCCACACUGGGACUGAGACACGGCCCAGACUCAUACGGGAGGCAGCAGUGGGGAAUCUUAGACAAUGGGGGAAACCCUGAUCGAGCCAUGCCGCGUGAUCGAUGAAGGCCUUAGGGUUGUAAAGAUCUUUCAGGUGGGAAGAUAAUGACUGUACCACCAGAAGAAGCCCCGGCUAACUCCGUGCCAGCAGCCGCGGUAA
rnacentral:rRNA from 1 species